CUUUGCAUUUCAAGCUAAGCCGCACCAUGCUGACAAUUGUAAUGCGUUGUUCCUAAUCUAUUAGUGCUCGAUUUAUACAUUGGUUACAUAACCGUGAUUAGUCAUUAGUUGACAUUGUUAAGCAGGCACAAAUGUAAGUUUUAUCACCAUUUAUUUAUAAUUUUACAUACAUUACCUUUUUAUUUAGGGUAUCAGUAGUUAACAUUUCAUCUGCCAAUAUUCUGAUGUAGAAUUCCGUACAAAAAAAUCUCACUUUAGAGGGCUUCUAUGUAAGAGAUUUAUAUGGCAGACAAUCUGGUUCAGAUAAUCUGAAUUGUUGAUAUAAUCAAAAACUGUCUAUGAAGAUCUGUGUAUAGCAUGGUCCCUCAAAAGGUCAAGAGAAGUUCAGGCUUUUUACAUUGUUGAAGCUAUCUAAUAUCUAUAACAGACAAACUCGAAAGCAUAUAUUUUUUUUAUUUUUCCCCACACCUUGUAAUGUUAAGAAUAUCCAUAGCAAGGCAUGGGUAGAAAGAUGGCUUUGUGUACAGUGAAAAUAGCGAACUGUACCCAACAGUUUACUACCCUCAGGUACAUGUAGUCAGCACUGAUAACAGACUUCACACUCUAUGUUCUUUAGAAUAUAACAGAAUUAUUUCUUCAAAAGAAAAUCAAUAAUAUUUACAAUUUCAUUUCUAUCACAUUUAUAUAGUAAAUGAAAACUCCAAGCCCAUUCACCACUACAGCUCUCUGUAGUGGUCGUGGUGUUAGGAGUGCCAUGACAUGCCUCUUCCUAUUGUAAGUAGUCAAACUGUUUUUGAUUGAAAUCAUUAUAUUAUUUGAUCUUAUGUUCACUUAAUAAAACGGUUAAAUAAUUUCUGGAUUUAACCACAAAGAUUAAAGAGACAAUCUAAGCAUGGGAGCAAUAAAGGUCAAUGUUUUCAAGCUGUUUGACAGAAAAAUGAAACAAUGCAGCCACUAAGGCAGACUUAGACGGCAAUGAUAGGCUAACCUGUCUAGCAGACUCAAAUAGCAAAUGGUUUCACAGAAAACCAGGGGAUAGAACAAAGACUCCGUGCACCAUAACAAUAACUAGCGAUAUGGGAUUUAGUGCAUAGAGUGUCUCUUUAAUAUCCAGCCGUCCAAAAUGCUAAGUCAAAAUACCAGUCUGCAAAUAAGUUUGAAGAUAGGCAGUAGGUAAGAUAAUGAAUGGUAUUCCAGUAUUCUUCUUUUAGGUUUUUUUUGUUUUUUUU